rnacentral:rRNA from 1 species
GAGUUUGAUCAUGGCUCAGAACGAACGCUGGCGGCAUGCCUAACACAUGCAAGUCGAACGAGACCUUCGGGUCUAGUGGCGCACGGGUGCGUAACGCGUGGGAAUCUGCCCUUGGGUUCGGAAUAACAGUUAGAAAUGACUGCUAAUACCGGAUGAUGACUUCGGUCCAAAGAUUUAUCGCCCAGGGAUGAGCCCGCGUCGGAUUAGCUUGUUGGUGAGGUAAAAGCUCACCAAGGCGACGAUCCGUAGCUGGUCUGAGAGGAUGAUCAGCCACACUGGGACUGAGACACGGCCCAGACUCCUACGGGAGGCAGCAGUGGGGAAUAUUGGACAAUGGGCGAAAGCCUGAUCCAGCAAUGCCGCGUGAGUGAUGAAGGCCUUAGGGUUGUAAAGCUCUUUUACCGGGAUGAUAAUGACAGUACCGGGAGAAUAAGCCCCGGCUAACUCCGUGCCA